rnacentral:rRNA from 1 species
ACGGAAGGCAGCAGUGGGGAAUAUUGGGCAAUGGGCGAAAGCCUGACCUAGCAACGCCGCGUGAAGGAAGAAGGUUUUCGGAUUGUAAACUUCUUUUAUCAGGGACGAAGAAAGUGACGGUACCUGAUGAAUAAGCCACGGCUAACUACGUGCCAGCAGCCGCGGUAAUACGUAGGUGGCAAGCGUUAUCCGGAUUUACUGGGUGUAAAGGGCGCGUAGGCGGGGAUGCAAGUCAGGUGUGAAAUCUAUGGGCUUAACCCAUAAACUGCAUUUGAAACUGUAUCUCUUGAGUGUCGGAGAGGUAGACGGAAUUCCUAGUGUGGCGGUGAAAUGCGUAGAUAUUAGGAGGAACACCAGUGGCGAAGGCGGCCUGCUGGACUGUUACUGACGCUGAGGCACGAAAGCGUGGGGAGCAAACAGGAUUAGAUACCCUGGUA